AUUUAUUACAAGGAGGGAAGGGCUGCCUAUUUCCUUAGACUGCAGGAAGAGAAAGUUCGACUGGAAUCGCAGAGGAAGGCCUGCGUGCCGAGUCUCCCUCAGAGCGCCUGGCAGAGAGGAGGCGCCCUCGUGGAAAAUCCAGGACUGCCCGUCCUUGAGUGGAAGUUCUGGAAGUUGAGGCCUCAACGACCUUUGAGGCAGAGGGUCCUGGUAUCUGUUUUAGACAAGGCCAGAGGUUUUGCCUGGCUGCUGGCAGCAGGGACACUGUGUCUGCAGCUAAGAGGGAUGGUGGGACCCUCGGCCUCCCUGCUCCUCUGCCUGUGCCUCUCACCCAGUGUGGGGAAAUUUGGACACAGACACACACACAGGGAGAACACCAUGUGAACAUGAAGAUGGCCACCUACAAGCCAAGGCGAGGCACUGAAACAGAUUCUUCUUCACAGACCUCAGAAGGAACCACUCCUGCCAGCACCUUGAUUUCAGAUUUCUACCCUCCAGAAUGCGCCUCCAUCGCUGCAGUGCCAGCACCUACGUGGGCUCUCCUUCUGAGUGGGUAAAGCCCUUCUGUGUUUUCAGAGGUGUGGAGGGAAAUGGUGAAGAGCCAAUGCUGGAGUCACGGUCACUGCCCGCAGCAGCUGAGACCACAGAUGCGGCUGCUGUCUGAGGGCUCAUAUCCUAGCCCAGUACUUCCUCAGCUUGUUCUGUCCAAAAGUCUUUCUGGAAAACCCUUAAACAUGUGAUCCUUGAGGCUGUUUUAGAGCUUUUAAACAUAGACGAAUUUAACCAGGAUGCUUUUUCUCCUCUGGACUUCUUUGUUUUAAAUUGGGCUCCUCCAGUAAAUCUAGCUCCUCAGUCAAGUCUUGGGUGAUGGGUUCUCCGUGCUUUUCAUUCUGCAGACUCUUCUGGAGGGUGGAGACCUUCUGAGAAUCGGCUCUUCCAUAAGGCGCUGUCCUCUCAUGCCCCACCUUUGACUCGCCGUUUGGUAGCCUUGCUCUGCUGGACCACGUCCCGGUUGGAGGCACGGAGCAGCAGAGGCCAGAGAGCAGGCUGCCUGGAUGCCCUUGCUCCUGGCUAGCAGACACAGCCUUGGACCACUGUAACCACAGGCCCUGUAGGACCAGCUCAAGCUGACCCAAUCUUAUCGCCAGAAGGUUUUUCAGGGGCAAGCCAAAAAUUUGCAAGUCAUAUAACCAGAGCAUGUGCGGAGGAGAAAAUCUUGAUCUGAAAUGACCCCGGAACCAAAGAUUCUCCACCACGGAACCAAAGGACUGGGAUGCGACGGGAACUUGAGAGUCGGACUCUUAUCAGAAGCGAGGAGUCCCUUGUCAGGGAAGAUCCGGUGUUAAAGCCUCUUCCACACCUUGCCAUAAAUGUUUAAAACCUUGCCAUAAACAUUUAAAGCCUUCCUAUAAAACGUUUAAAGCCCUCCAAUCGAAACUGCCCGCCAGCGCUUCCGUAUGCCAGCCUGUUCUCCCUAAUGUCUUCAAUUUUGCCCCAAACUCUGGAUCAGGGAGACAGAUUUGAGAAUGUUGCCUCCUGUCUC
rnacentral:lncRNA from 1 species